AGAGAAGUGGAUGCUGGCAACUGGCCUGUCCUGCUGUCAUUUGGACAGAUAGUGAGUUUGGAUUUUCCAUCAUCUUGGAGGAUAUAGCCACGUGGGCAUGAACAUUGAUAGCUUCCUUCAGUAUUCUUGCAAAUAAAAUUGCAUGGUUUGGGAGACUGGGAGCAUUCAUCAAGAUCUAAUUACAGGAAUAAUUCAUAUUCAAGUUUAAUUAAUUCCACAGUAUUGGAUUCAAAAUAAAACUGGGGGACAAUGCCUAA